UUUUAAAUGAGGAACCGUUCCAUGAACAUUUUGCACAGAGCACAGAAUUGCUUCUAAAGUCAGCCCGGCGCAGUUGCAAUAGACAGCAAAAAGGUAAACGUUUGCCUGAAAUCCGCACGCCAGCUCCACCACCCCGCCCGAUGGACAAGGACUGUUGCUUCCCUGAGUUGGCCUGCUUUCCCAGAGUAUCUUAAAAGGUCUCUUGAAACGAAUAAAAUACUCAGAACUUCUGGGACUGUCCCAGACAGUGUCCUGUUACGGGCUUUAAACAGUCCCUCAUGUGGAAGAAGCCCUAUAUCCUGGAGUCAGAUGUCAAUCAUCCUGGGAAGACUCAGCCAAGAAUACAUGCUUAGAAGAAAACUGUUUCAAGCAUCGUCAUUUACCACGUGGAUGUAUCUGCACAGCCCUCCCUUUCCACAAACACCAAUACUGAAGUCCUGACGCUGGGAGUCCCUGAAUUAAGACCCCGGAGAAGAAUUGUCAAAGGGACUUACCUUUAAGGAAGCCUGUGAUCCUAUAAAAGUGAUCAUCAGUGUAAAUCAAAUCAAAAGACUUCGAUGACCUCUCCAGCACUCAGUCUCCAGCACCCAGAACAGGUCAGGUGUCAUCUGCGGUUUUUCCUCUGCACCACAUCUUCCAACUAUGAUGUUGUCUAUCAUCAAAAGGCCCAGAGCAAUGAGAUCACGUCAUGGUGGACAGGUACCACCGUAACUUUAAAACCUGCCAUCGGUUGGUCAGCAGGAGAGUGAAAGAGUGUCAUGCACACUGUACCAGCAUCGAGGCUGAGCCUGCCAGCAGAGCUGACUCUGAUGGACAAAGUGCUGCCUAGGGCUCCUGAUGCAGCUGCUAUCUGCAGACCUCCUGGACUGCCCCGGGAAGGGAGUGGGAGCUCCUGCCACAGAUGGACGGAACAUCGACAAGAAGGGCUAAAGGUGGCCAAAAAUAACAGUGCCUUCCAGAUGAGGUGACCUCAGAGCCAAGAGCAUCAUGGGCUAGUGGCCUGCCAAUCACAGGACAUCAGUAUGCACAGUGCCCAGCGUCUCCUCCAGGUUCAGCUUUGACAUCUUCCCUUCGGAGGGCCUACUCCAACCUCAGGAC